CAGGGUGACCAGGAACAGAACCAGGUGAUGGCAUAAGCCACCCUGACACCAUCCACACCGGAACCCAAGAAACCUGGGCACAGUACCCCAAGAUAGCUCAGGAAGAGAAGCUGAAGGGAGGAAAAAAAGGAUGAUAUGCCUGCAUCUGUCCAUCCUCGUCUUACCUCCACAUGGCAGCCAGAACGAUUGCGCAGGUGUCCGAAGUCGAAGGAGAGCGAGUCGGGACUGUUGCGUUUCUUGACCACAAAACAGAGGCUUGACCCCUGUAAAGUGUAACUCCAUGCAAGAAGAAAAGGGAACCAAAAAUAAAUCUGACUGAAAAAACCAACAAACUACUUCUCCGAGUGGAUGGGGCCUUUUGUCGCAGGUGGUGUCUUUGAUAAUGAUCUGCCUUCACAUCUGGCGCACAAGCACAAAGCAAUGCAAACGAACGCACCAAACAUGACUGCAUCUAAUCUCCCUUGAAGCAUAUACAGUCGGGCUAGCAUCUCAUCGUACUGCAUAUGCCGGGAGUGACAGAGCCCCUGAUCUGAUCUUAGAGGUCAUACCCGAGUGUUUUCUCAAAGCCAUGAAAGGAGCAAUAUAACCUCAGAUACAAUCAAACUCGGCAGAAGAGGAUGAAGUCAGAGUUUCUGAGCUUCACAAGAGUGCUGCAGUCUGAGGCAAGGAACAUCAAUGAGACCCUGAGCCGUGACUCAGUCGCUUAUAGACAAGCGAAACUAAAAACCUUCACACUCCCUCCUUAUGCUGCUGCAUAAAGCAAUGCUUAUAGUGCUGCCUCACCUUUACAAGUCAGCCAGAAUGGAAGACUGUACUGUAGUUUAGCCUCGCUUGUGCUUGUAAACAGGCCUUCAGAAAAGCCAUGGCAACGCAAGGGAGGACAUGCUUAUGUUUCCGUGAGGGAGUUCUGGCAGGGAGGCCUCUCAGAGGUGAAGGAAGUACAGAAUGAAUGGGUUCAGUGCCCCCUAGGCUACGGACCUCGAUCACCUAGCAACCUGGCAGAACCUUACCAAAAACCCUUGUUGCUCACUCACAUAUGCUCCAGACUAGAAGGAAUGAUCCGCCAAACUUAAAAUACAAAAAACAAAACAAGAAGCAACCCUGUAGUGGAAAGACUCACUUGCAUGGGCUGACCAAAGUGGUUCAGUGUUCAGGGCUUACUACCGUUCUAGGUUAAGUUAAGUUUAGUCUGGGAUGAUGGCCAGUACUGGGCCUGAGUCCAGAUCUCUGUUGUUUUAGCCUGAUGGAAAUGAGCGUUAUCUGCACCCUCACGGAUUCAAAGCCGCCGCAAUCUGCCACCCCUGCUCUCACCAUGAUUAAUGCAGACCAGAUGAGUAGAAAGGCCACAUGUGCGAGUUUGUGUGAGCUCGGAGACGAGAAAGGGAGCAAAGAGUGCUGUAGCUCAGCCAGAUCCCACAUGCUGAAUGAGGCCAAUUUGAGAUCUGAACACCAUCAGCAUAACUGAGGACGGACUGAAUUUCCCACACAGAUCAGUCCCUUUUUGACAGGGUUUGCUAUAGUGUGUGUGUGUGUGUGUGUGUGUGUGUGUGUGUUCAGCGCCAUUUCUACUGAUAACUGAUCCAUCAGAGCAGAUGAACCAACUUACUAU